rnacentral:rRNA from 1 species
UAGGGAAUCUUCCGCAAUGGACGCAAGUCUGACGGAGCAACGCCGCGUGAGUGAAGAAGGAUUUCGGUUCGUAAAACUCUGUUGUUAGAGAAGAACAGCGCAUAGAGUAACUGUUAUGCGUGUGACGGUAUCUAACCAGAAAGCCACGGCUAACUACGUGCCAGCAGCCGCGGUAAUACGUAGGUGGCAAGCGUUGUCCGGAUUUAUUGGGCGUAAAGCGAGCGCCGGCAGUCAAUUAAGUCUGAUGUGAAAGCCCCCGGCUCGACCGGGGAGGGUCAAUGGAAACUGGUGGACUUGAGUGCAGAAGAGGAGAGUGGAAUUCCAUGUGUAGCAGUGAAAUGCGUAGAUAUAUGGAGGAACACCAGUGGCGAAGGCGACUCUCUGGUCUGUAACUGACGCUGAGGUUCGAAAGCGUGGGUAGCAAACAGG